AAACCGGGGCUAAUACCGGAUGCUUGUUUGAACCGCAUGGUUCAAACAUAAAAGGUGGCUUCGGCUACCACUUACAGAUGGACCCGCGGCGCAUUAGCUAGUUGGUGAGGUAACGGCUCACCAAGGCAACGAUGCGUAGCCGACCUGAGAGGGUGAUCGGCCACACUGGGACUGAGACACGGCCCAGACUCCUACGGGAGGCAGCAGUAGGGAAUCUUCCGCAAUGGACGAAAGUCUGACGGAGCAACGCCGCGUGAGUGAUGAAGGUUUUCGGAUCGUAAAGCUCUGUUGUUAGGGAAGAAUAAGUACCGUUCGAAUAGGGCGGUACCUUGACGGUACCUAACCAGAAAGCCACGGCUAACUACGUGCCAGCAGCCGCGGUAAUACGUAGGUGGCAAGCGUUGUCCGGAAUUAUUGGGCGUAAAGGGCUCGCAGGCGGUUUCUUAAGUCUGAUGUGAAAGCCCCCGGCUCAACCGGGGAGGGUCAUUGGAAACUGGGGAACUUGAGUGCAGAAGAGGAGAGUGGAAUUCCACGUGUAGCGGUGAAAUGCGUAGAGAUGUGGAGGAA
rnacentral:rRNA from 1 species